rnacentral:rRNA from 1 species
CCUACGGGUGGCAGCAGUGAGGAAUAUUGGUCAAUGGUCGGGAGACUGAACCAGCCAAGCCGCGUGAGGGAUGAAGGUACAGAGUAUCGUAAACCUCUUUUGUCAGGGAACAGAGGCGGGGACGUGUCCCCGGAUGAGUGUACCUGAAGAAAAAGCAUCGGCUAACUCCGUGCCAGCAUCCGCGGUAAUACGGAGGAUGCGAGCGUUAUCCGGAUUUAUUGGGUUUAAAGGGUGCGCAGGCGGUCUGUUAAGUCAGCGGUAAAAGCCCGGGGCUCAACCCCGGCCCGCCGUUGAAACUGGCAGUCUCGAGUUGGAGAGAAGUAUGCGGAAUGCGCGGUGUAGCGGUGAAAUGCAUAGAUAUCGCGCAGAACUCCGAUUGCGAAGGCAGCAUGCCGGCUUCACACUGACGCUGAGGCACGAAAGCGUGGGUAUCGAACAGGAUUAGAUACCCUAGUAGUC